rnacentral:rRNA from 1 species
CACGUAGGGCGCAAGCGUUGUCUGGAAUUAUUGGGCGUAAAGAGCUCGUAGGCGGUCUGUUGCGUCCGCUGUGAAAACUCGGGGCUUAACCCCGAGCCUGCAGUGGAUACGGGCAGACUAGAGGUAGGUAGGGGAGAAUGGAAUUCCCGGUGUAGCGGUGAAAUGCGCAGAUAUCGGGAGGAACACCGGUGGCGAAGGCGGCAUCCUGGACCAACACUGACACUGAGGAGCGAAAGCCAGGGGAGCAAACGGG